UACUAGGACUCGUGUAAAUCUGAAGCUAACUGUAGAUAAAGGUAACUUACUGCUUUAAAAAAUAGAGUCAGAAACUCCAAAAUGACAGCUUUUUUUUUGAGAAAUACAUUCUGAAUUUCAAACAAGCCAUUCAGAGGGAAAACACAUAAUGCUGGGAAGCCUUUAAAGGGCUAGGACUUCAGACCAGUUUACGAAGGUUUAAUUAAAUAAACGGAUGUUCUUUUUCUUGUCCUUCUGCCCAUCUGGAUUAGUUUGCCCAAAACAUCAGGUUUUGAUUGUGAUCAGGCUGACCUAUUUUUUAUCUUUAGCCACUGGCUAAAUAAACUGGGAACGUUAACAAGAGAAGUUCCUGAACACAGGCAAGAAAAGGGUUUCAUUUCUUUUGAGUCUGCUCUAGUACAAAAUUCUGAUGUAACACCUCAAAAUUCUGAGAAAUUAAAUAUUCUGUGAAGUGUCUGAGAAGGAUCUUUGUUGUAUGGAAUCAUUGUUCACACUGAUUUACUCACAUUGCUUUAGAAGGCCCUCCUGAGUAAAAAGGCCUUUUGCAGUCAUUUUUUUCCUUUCUGACUUGCUUUCUGGGAGUGAAAUGAAAGUAAAUAUUUCCUUCCCACAGACUUGAUAAAGACACUGUAGAUAUCUUUCAUAGGGGUCCCACUGAUGGCUCUUUACAGGUUCUUUUUGUGCAUCACUAUGCUCUGAUCAUUUUCUUCUCCGAUGGGUAGAAAGAGUCACUGGCUUUCCUCCUAAAAUUAAUCCUUUUUUUCUAGGAAAGCUCCUCAAAUGUUACUUUAUUAAUAUUGUUUCUUUGCAAACAGGGAUUUUAAAUGGAGGACAUAAAACACUACCUCCACACACACAGGUAUUUCUCCAGUUUAACUUUCUGUGUUGCAGACUAGGCCGUGGCCUGGAAAAGGCAGUGAGUUGGUCAGCCAGUGUAAAUGACCAAACCAGACCUGCACUGGUCCCAUUCGGACACCCUGAGAACUUAGUGUGUGUAAACAUUUCUGUCUGUGUUCUGUGAGAUCAUCAUAUAGAAUCUGUCUGUUUCUAAUAGCAGAGAGCCAUGAGGAAAUAUUUCAUAAGGAAGAUUUUGAAAUACAUUUUUUUCAAACCAGUCUCCUACAUGAGAUGAAGUGACCCUCAUUUGGAGUAAGAGGCAUGCAAGAAAUAUUCUCACACUUGUUCUCCCUGUGUUUCUGUUUCUCGUCUUUCUAGUGGGCUGUUCAUUGCAGUGAUUGUGAGCCUGCUCUUCCUUGUGUUAUUGAGGUUCAUAGCUGGGGUUCUUUUCUGGAUUUUCAUCUUUGUCAUGAUUGGAAUUAUUGGUUAUGGCAGCUGGCAUUGUUACUGGGAGUAUGACCAUCUUAAAGGAAUACCUGGAUCUGA